GGGAAUGGGUAUGGGCUGCCUAACUGGUCAUCUAGUUCCCAGGGGAAGGGAAGUCGCAAGUUCCAAGGCCACUUCUGGUCCUCAUGUCCUUGGUUAAUAUCCCGAGAGGAAGCUGAGACGGGCUGCUCUCCCCACCAGCAUGAAGAGAUGGAAUAUGAGUCAGAUGUAGUGUGAGUAUAGAUGUGUGUUCCAUCCUGGUUGGACCUUCCUGGCUUGCUGACUUUAGGCAUAUCCCUUCCCUCCUCUGCUAGUUUCUUUUUUUGUAAAACAAGAAGGUUAGAAUCCUUAAUUUAACACAUUUCUCCAAACUCUACAACUUAGGGCUUUGGUGUUCAUUCGCAGAAGAGCUUGCCCAGCCAGGCAAGCUGUCUGUUCUACCAGGCAGACUUUGAAGUGCUUCCCAAAAGAAAUAGUGUGGACCUUGAAUGGUGGUGGAGAAAUGUCUUGGAGAAUAAGCAGGGCUGGGCAUUAUAGUUGGAUGGCAUGUUAUAGUCAGAUGGCUGAGAGUGAAUGGGAAGAGGGUCUGGGAAAGAAUUCAGUUAGAAAGAGUAGGUUGAGAAGCAGAGGGGAAAAGAGGAGAGCGAACUAGAGACGGCACCAUAGCAAAAUGCUCCAGGUCCUGGGGAGGCAUCCUGGGUUGUCCCACAGCAAAAGAAAUGUACAGUUAUGGAUGGACAUUAAGAAGGAGAGGCCAAAGGGGCCGUAAAUAAAAGGGCAGAAGAAAGGCAGUGGGUGGACACAGACAGGACCCCAGGAACAAGGGAUCUGUAAGUUCCUACUCAGCAUGACCUCAAGCAAGAGACUUCUCUCCAGGCCUCCAUUUCCUUGCCUAUACAACGAAGCAGAUGAUACUCUUCCCAACUUAGGAGCUACUGUGACCAGUAGAUGAGAUCACGCAGGUGGUGGAGAGUAUAUUAUCUGGCAGUUGUGAACUUUGAACAAAUGGUUGCUAUUUUUAUGAUUUAACCAGAAGGAGCUCAUAAGAAUAGAGGGGUGAUAAUGGGGGCCAAGCCUGGAGCCUUAAGAAGAGAUGUAGGGGGUCCUAGCAUGGCAGGCUUCCUAGAUUUAGUGGUGGAAAUGUUCCCCAAGGGACAGAAGCAAAGACUGCAAUAGGUGCUUAAGAUUCAGAGAUCCUGGAUAUCAGAAGAGAGAACAGCAAGAACGACGAAGGCUGAAUUUCCUGCCAGCCAGUGUUUUGGGGACAGGAAUAGCGGUGAAGUUAGAUUUAUUUUAAUUAAGAGAAUAAAGCAGCGUGAAUGUCUCACACACCUGAAUUUGUGGAGUAAGAUUUGUGCCCUUAAAUCUGUUAUUUCAAUGUAUGGUGUUAUUAUAUGUAAAGAGAAAAAAAAUAAUCCAGAAAUGAUGGACUUCAGGGAGGAGGAAGAGAAUUUCAGUUUGAGUUUCAUACAAGAUAAGAUGAGAAAGACAAAUUGUUACACUUAACUACACGGCUUACUUACCUCUCAGUUUCAUACAUGAUUCUUGGGGCCUCUGGUUUGGAAAGUCAGAACUUUGAAGGAGCAGAAUUUUUUUUUUUUCACUUGAGCAAGAGUCUGGGUUGGCUUCAAACUGCUCCCUGCCUGCAGAAUGGAGCUGAUGCACCCCCCAGUCUCCAGGCUCGCCUGGGCAAUCUCCCCCACCCACCCAUACUACACUGCCGUCACCUCCCUUAUCCCCAGUGCUACCUUAAUUACCCUGAACCUUGGGGGACAGACACACCGACCACAUAAGCUCUCCAGGGUAGGGUCUGAGCGCAUGAGUUCAAAGGGCAGGAUAUCAUAGUGAAACCCAGAAGGCUGGCCUGGCUGAAUGACAGAGGACAGCUGGAGGGAUGAGAAAGAAGCUUGAGUAUAAAGGCAGCUGAAAAUGGUGCGAUUUCUGUAGGGAAGGAGGGAACCACAGUGUGGAGGGAGAGAAGAGCAGAUAAAGACAAAACAAAAGGUUACUUCCUAUGGGGAUUGUGGGAGCGAGGUCUGUGGAUAAAGAACAGACCUAACACGAGACCUGAGAAGCCAGAUAAACCAAAACAUAGCCUUAGUAACGGGCACCCUUCAUGAAGCAUCCCCUAGGAACCAAGGGAACAGCAGAGCCUUUGUUCUAGGGAGUCACCUCUGCUCGAUGGUUUCCAGGCUGCGCUCCUCAGAGUCCUGGGGCUCUCGGUAGGUGUCCCAAGGGCCGUUGUGAAAUAGGGGAGAAAAGGAGGGAAGCUGCUAGGGAUAGCCGGGGGAGAUGAAAGGGUAGAAGGAGCUCUCGGCCUUCCAAUUUGCUUCAACAAAGCUGCUACAAUCUUAUCUUUUUAGUAAAUUGGGAUUUUUAAUACAUUUUGUCUGGAAGAAAAAGUCCCCCCGCUUUAUUUUAAGAAAAAGGCUUUAAAAUUAGUCUGGUGAUAUGGACAUAUGAUAAAACCCAGGAAAAGUGAUUUUUCUUCAGUUAUUUCAAAGCGGCUGGCAAGAUGACACUCCAAGGAAAAUGCCCGUCAGCUGAAGCUAGGAGCACCCCUGGCUGCUCAGAAAACACCACUGAGGAGCCAAGGUGAAGCUGUGCAGUUCGAAGGGACUUUGGGGGCUGCUGGCUCCUCUCCAAAGCAGGCCUAGGCCGGUCUUGCUGGACAGAAAGAAAGAAAUGACACACCAGAGAGGUGGAAUUCCCAGUUUACCAUAUUGAAUGUUCACACCUUACACUAUGAGCUCAGGCUUUCAUGUAAGUGGUUGUACCUGGCAUACAUGUGGUCCAUAUGACAGUGAGCAUGAAAUGAUUGUACCAGAUGGACAAAGAAGAACUGGUACCAAUUUUACUAAAACUAUUUAAAAAAUUGAGGAGGAGGAAUUCCUCCCUAACUCAUCGUAUGAAGCCAGCAUCACCCUAAUAUCAAAAUCUGGCAGAGAUACAACAAAGUAAGAAAACUUCAGGCCAAUAUCCCUGACUAACACAGAUGCAAAAAUCCUCAACAAAAUGCUAGCAAAUCAAAUCCACCAGCAUAUCAAGAAGUUUAUUCACCAUCAUCAAGUAGACUUUAUUCCUGAUAAUAUGGUUUGUCUCUGUGUCCCCACCGAAAUCUCACCUGAAAUUAUAAUCUCCAUAAUCCCUAUGAAUCCCCACCGAAAUCUCACCUGAAAUUAUAAUCUCCAUAAUCCCUAUGUGUAGAAGGAGGGACCUGAUAGGAGGUUAUUGGAUCAUGGAGACAGUUUCCCCCAUGGUGUCCUCAGGAUAGUGAGUGAGUUCUCAAGUGAUCUGAUGGUUUUAUAAGUGUUUGACAGUUCCUCCUUCACACUCACUCCUACUAAAGUGGUGGUAUGGUUUGGCUCUGUGUCCUCACCCAAUUGUAAUUCCCACCUGUCAAGGGAGGGACCUGUAAUCCCAUGUGUAGAGGGAGGCAGGUGAUUGGAUCACCAGUGCUGUUCUUGUGAAAGUGAGUGAGUUCUCACAAGAGCCGAUGGUUUUAUAAGUAGUGGUUUCCCAGCUCUUCGCCCCCCUGCCACCCUGUGAAAAAGGUGCCUGCUUUCCUGUCCACUACGAUUGUAAGUUUUCUGAGACCUCCCCAGCUAUGCAGAACUAUGAGUCAAUUAAACCUCUUUUCAUUAUAAAUUAUCCAGUCUUGGGCAGUUCUUUAUAACAGUGUGAAAAUGGACUAAGACACCUGGGAUUCAAGCUUGGGUCAACAUACUCAGAUCAAUAAAUGUAAUUAACCACAUAAACAAAAUUAAAAGCAAAAAUGAUAUAAUCAUUGCAAUAAAUGCAGAAAAUGUUAUUAAUAAAAUCCAACAUCUGUGAAUGAUAAAAACCCUUGACAGACUAGGCAUCAAAGGACAUAUCUUAAAAUGAUAAGAGCCGCUAUGAGAAACCCACAGCCAACAUCACAGUGAACAGGAGAAAGCUGAAAUCAUUUCCCUUGAGAAUGCAAACAAGGCUAUAAUGCCUACUGUCCCCACUCUCAUCAGAGUGAGGAGAGUGGGAGUAUGCCACAUAGUACUGGAAGUCCUAACCACAGCAAUCAGGCAAGACAAAGAAAUAAAAACUACUCAAGAAAAAAGUCAAACUAUCUCUCUUCACUGGCAAUGUAAUUCUAUAUUUAGAAAACCCUGAAGACUCCACCAAAAGGCUGCUAGAACUGAUAAACAAUGUUGGUAUGGUUUUGUGUUAAAAAAUCAAUGUAUAAUAAUCAGUAGCAUUUUUAUACACCAAUAAUAUCCAGGUUGAGAGUCAAAUCAAGAAUAUAAUUCCAGUUACAAUAGCCACCAAUGAAAUGAAAUACUUAGGAAUAUAGCUAACUGAGGAGGUAAAAGGUCUCUACAAGGAAAACUAUAAAACAUGGCUAAAAGAAAUCAGAGAUGACACAAAGAAAUGGAAAAACAUCCCAUGCUCAUGAAUUGGAAGAAGCAAUAUUGUUAAAAUGGCCAUACUGUCCAAAGCAAUUUACAAAUUUAAUGCUAUUUUUAUCAAACAACCAAUGAUAUUCUUCACAGAAUUAGAAAAAUAAAUUCCAAAAUUCUCAUGGAACCAAAAAAGAGCCUGAAUAGCCAAAGAAAUCCAAAGCAAAAAGAAUGAAGCCAGAAGCACCACACUACCUGGCUUCAAACUAUAUUAUAAGGCUACAGUAACCAAAAGAGCACGGUGCUGGUACAAAAACAAGAGACAUCAUCCAAUGGAAAAGGACAGAAAAUUCAGAAAUCCACACAUUUACAACCAUCUGAUCUUUGAUAAGACUGACAAAAAUAAGCAAUUGGAAAAGGACUCUCUACUCAAUAAAUGAUGCUGGGAUAAUUGGCUGGCCAUAUGCAGAAGAAUAAAACUGGACCUUUACCUUUCACCACACAUGGAAGUUCUGAAGAGGAAUUGGAAAUUUACAGCUUCAUAGUAUGUAUGUAUUUGUUACAAGUAACUUGGGUUUAGAAUUUCAACCAUUCCUUUCAUAGUCUUAAUAAAGUCCUUUGUUAAAGAACUCUUCUGGCAUUAUCACAUACCUAAUUUAUGUUAACUCUACUAGGGCAUCAGAACCAGGUAUACCGCAAUGUGUGCUUUACUCACCCUGACAAUACUGGCAUUGUGAUGUGAUGGGCUACAUGUCAUGUUCUGCCAGGCUAGGCGGAGAGGACACAGAGGACACAUUUACCAUUGGAAACAUCUAUUUGAAGUCCAUGAUCCUUAAAAAUCAUUUGUACUAGCCUCACAGACAUCUCAGCUACCUAUCUUUCUUUGCAUCACAAAUUUCUACCAUCUGUUAAUUGAUUACACAUAAGAGGUGGGCCAAGAAAAGGUAAAUUUUGGAAUGAUGAUAUGUGUGUCACCAGCUAUGGAGAGAUGAAGAAUAAAGAAUUACAACCAUCUGGUGGCAGAUCUGUCUCCAGUUGGAGAGCUGGAGCAUCUGUUGGCGCCGGAAUGUCCAAUACAGCUUCUUCACUAAUAUGAGAAGUGCCUGGUCUAUGGUGGCUGAAACAGCUGGGGUGGACAGGGUCUCUGUCUCCGCAUGACUUGUGCAAGUGGCUAACUGGGGCUUCUGCAUAGCAUGGUGUUCUCAUGGUGCUUGAACUUCUUCAGGUAGAUGGCUUCCUCCAGAGCGAGUGUGCCAAGAGGAAUCGAUGGAAGUUACAAGGGUUCUUGUGACUUAACCUGAGAAGUCCCAGAAUGUCCCUUCUGGCACAUUCUUUUGUCCUUAAGGUCAGCACAAAUUCAAGGGAAAGUAAUAGAUUCUACCUCUCAAUGGAAGAAGUAACAAAGAAUUUGUGACCAUCUUUGAUUUACUGCAAUCAUACAAUGGGCGAGCUCAAGAAAAUAGGUAAGUUCUUUCAGUCUUAGGCCGAGAGCGACAGUACCCUAACCAGCUUUGUUAGCCUCCUGUUGCAUUGGCCCCUGAGGCUACCAACAAGGUAUGUAUGAGGUUCACUCAAAGUCAGAAGGUUAAUUUGACCAACUCAAUGAAUCUCAGUAUGCACUACACAGCAGAAUUACCUGGGAAGGUGUAUUAGACUGUUUGCAUUGCUAUAAAGGAAUAGGUGAGGCUGGGAACUUAUAAAGAAAAUAUGUUUAUUUGGUUCACAGUUCUUACAGGGUUUACAAGAAUCAUUAUUUCAACAUAUGCUUCUGCUGAGGGCCCCAGACUGCUUCCACUUAUGGUGAAAGGUUAAGGGGAGCUAGCAUGGGCAAGAAGAAGCAUGAGAGAGGGGAAACGGGUGUCAUGCUCUUUUUAACAACUCACAGGAACCAGCAAAGUAAAAACUCACUCAGUAACUCAAGUGGGGCAUCAAGCCAUUCAUGACCCACACGCCUCUCAGUAAGACCCAUCUCCAACAGUGAGGAUCAAAUUUCAACAUGAAGUUUGGAGGGUCAACCGUCCAAACUAUAGCAGAAGGUCUGUUUGUUUUGAUUUGAUUUGUUUUGUUAUGUUUUUAAUAUAAAUCUCUGGACAUCUCCUCUAGAGAGCCUGAUUCAAUUGUUCUGUUGGAUUUUGACAAUGUUAUUAUUAUUUUUAUUGCAUUUUAGGUUUUUGGGUACAUGUGAAGAACAUGCAAGAUUGCUGCAUAGGUACACACGUGGCAGUGUGAUGUGCUGCCUUCCUCCCCAUCACCUAUAUCUGUUUCCCAGAUGAUUCCAGCCCAGGCCUGAGAAUGACUUAGGGCUUCUUCUUGGACUCCGGAGGCUGCAUAGAUGGGUGCUGUGGAGUGAGGAGCACCCACUGAAGUUGUGGUGAGGUCAGAAGUAACUGAACAGGAUCUGACAGAUUUGGGAAAGCCUCCUAUAAAACAAUUUAUAAUUUUCUAACCUGUUUGAAACACACAUACACAAUAUAUUUGUGUGUGUAUGCAUGCGUGCGUGUGUGUAUCUUUAUUAAUUUAAUUAUCCAUAUAACAUUUAUAUCAUAUAUAAUACAAUAUAAAGACAUAUAUUUAUCUUUGUAAAUAUAACUUUAAUCACUGUGUAGUAUUUUAGCUUAUAAAUUACCUAACUAUUCCCAUCUUCUCAGAUAUUGGUGACUGUUGUUUUUAUUGAAGUAAAACGAAUAUUUUUCAACACUUAGCCCUUUGCUUCUUUUGAAUUAUUCUUUGAGGACUCAUUUGCUAAGGUAGAAAUCUGGGUUUUCAGAACUCCUGACUCUGUUGCUAAAUUAACCAUGUGAUCCUGGUCAAAUUAUUUCACCUCCUUUGGUUUAUAAAUUGAAGGGAUUGAGAUAUAUGGCCCUCGCUAGAUUUAAAAUCCUUUGAUCUCAGGGGUACAUCAGCAGGGCUGCCAGAUUGCACAAUUCCAGCAUACCAGUAACUGAACAGCCAAGCAGACACAUGGAGUUUUAGGAUUUUUCCUUCCUGAAAGUCCUACCCUGUAACGUCCAUCACAUGGCUGAGACACCUGGGUUUUACUGCAGAUUAAUAAAAUCUGGU